rnacentral:tRNA from 2 species
GCCCGCAUAGCUCAGUUGGUAGAGCAGGACACUCUUAAUGUCAAGGUCCAAGGUUCGAAUCCUUGUGCGGGUACCA